AUUAACAGUCCGUUGGUGGUCAGCACUUCACCGGUCAUUAACGGCUGCUUCCACGGGGAACUCUGGCGGGAAGCCAAAACUUUGCAUUUGUCAGCUCCAGUUCUACCGAAUCCCAAAGGAGUUCUGCUGGAUUCACAUCUGCCGGCUGGAGUGGUCUCUGAAUCCACGGAACUGGACAGAAAGCCGUUAGGAGAUGCCGACGUUUGGAAACUCAGCAGCAGAGAUUCAUCUCUUCUUAACAGACCAUCAACACACAGCCAGAGGUGAAGUCACUUUUAUGGAAAUGAGGAAGACGAGACGAAGCAGUUUGGAGGCCGAAGCAGCGACAGACGAACACAAGUGGAACAGAAAGGAGUUUCUGCCAUUUGUACGUUCAGCUGAAGUCCUCCAAACCUUGUUUCUGAGGCAGAGCUCAUUUUGGAGAAUCGGCUCAGUGAGCAGAGCAGAAGAAAGACCAGCUAUAGAGGUCUGACCAGGCGUGACCGUCAGCCUUCCCGGGACAAAUCCUCAACACAGCGAUCAUGAUCAGCGGACGAACACAACGAGGC
ensembl:lncRNA